GGAAGGAUGGCCGAGCGGUUUAAGGCACUGGUCUUGAAAACCAGAGAUGGGAAACCAUCCGUAGGUUCGAAUCCUACUCCUUCCGCCA
rnacentral:tRNA from 1 species